AACAUGUCUAUUUGAAUUUAUAAAAAGUCUAGCCUGCCCACUGAUAGUUAGUAAAUUAAAUGGCCGCGGUAUCCUGACCGUGCAAAGGUAGCAUAAUCGUUAGUUUCUUAAUUGGGAUCUUGUAUGAAUGGUUGGACAAAAAAAAAUCUGUCUCUGUAUUACUUAUUUAACUUAACUUUUAAGUGAAAAGGCUUAAAUGCAUUAAAGGGACGAUAAGACCCUAUAAAACUUUAUAUUUAACUCUAUUGUAUCUAAUUUUCAAAAUAAAAGAUUUAAUAGAUUUGAUUUAUUUUAUUGGGGCGAUAAAAGUAAAAUGUCUUGUAACUGCUUAUUAGUAUAGACACUGUAUGUGUGAGUUAAAUUUAAAUGAUCCUUACUAAAGAUUAAAAGUUUAAGUUACUUUAGGGAUAACAGCGUUAUUUUCUUCAAGAGUACUUAUCGAAAAGAAAGUUUGCGACCUCGAUGUUGAAUUAAAGUUCCUAUAUAAUUGCAGCAGUUAUAUUAGUAGGUCUGUUCGACCUUUAAAACUUUACGUGAUCU
rnacentral:rRNA from 1 species